rnacentral:pre_miRNA from 1 species
UGGGUACUCCCUCCGUCCGAAAAUACUUGUCAUUGAAAUGGAUGUAUCUAGAUGUAUUUUAGUUCUAGAUACAUCCAUUUUCAUCCAUUUUGAUGACAAGUAUUUCCGGACGGAGGGAGUACAAU